rnacentral:rRNA from 1 species
UACGGAGGGUGCAAACGUUGCUCGGAAUCAUUGGGCGUAAAGCGCACGUAGGCGGUCCAGCAAGUCGGGUGUGAAAGCCCUCGGCUUAACCGAGGAAGUGCAUUCGAAACUACUGGGCUUGAGUACUGAAGAGGAUCGCGGAAUUCCCGGUGUAGAGGUGAAAUUCGUAGAUAUCAGGAGGAACACCGGUGGCGAAGGCGGCUUUCUGGACGACAACUGACGCUGAGACGCGAAAGCGUGGGGAGCAAACAGG